AGAUCAUAAACUGAAUGUUUCGGAGUCAGCACAAAAUCCUUCAACUCCAAAUCAUACACUGAAUGAUUCGGAGUCAGCACAGAAUACUUCAACUCCACCUUUACCAAAAAGAACCAAAGAUGAUUUUCGCAUAUUGAAAGUGGGGAUAAUUGCCAUAGUUGUAUGUCUCAACGCAUUGGCUGUUACUGGGAUUGUUUUGCUGUUUGUUAAAAGAAGAAAACAACUGUUCCCACAUCAAGCUAAAAAGAAUGAAGUAGCAACAAGCAGCACAAAUCCAUCACACAGCACAUUAAUGAAUGUUGAG